rnacentral:rRNA from 1 species
UACAGAGACUGCAAGCGUUAUUCGGAUUCACUGGGCGUAAAGGGUGCGCAGGCGGCCGUGUGUGUCAGAUGUGAAAUCCCGGGGCUUAACUCCGGAACUGCGUCUGAAACUACACGGCUAGAGCAUUGGAGAGGGUAGUGGAAUUCACGGUGUAGCAGUGAAAUGCGUAGAUAUCGUGAGGAACACCAGAGGCGAAGGCGACUACCUGGACAAUAGCUGACACUCAGGCACGAAAGCGUGGGGAGCCAAAGGG